GGGCCCGUGGCCUAGCCAGGACCAAAGGCACCGAACCAACAAGCCGGAGAUCCCGGGUUCAAAUCCCGGCGGGCCCGCCA
rnacentral:tRNA from 1 species